CAUGCAUCGUCCGUGCAACAAGCUUGCGUAGAUAGGCCUGCGCGCCUGGGGCCUACGUGCGUGCAGGCUAGCUCUUGCAUGCAACAGGGUAGCUCGACGCCUGCAGGCUAGGCCUGCAACGUACGGUGGGCGGGUGAGGCUCACUGCUGCCUCGGGUAGUGUGUCAUCCCCACCUUGGACAGCGUGCUGUCGCUUGAGGGGCCACCGUCGAUGGAGGAGGUUUUCCUUCGUUUUGCGUGCUGCGUCAAAUCAAGUAUCUUUCACUUUUCAACACUCUCUCUUUUCACUUGGCGCAAAUCCAACGACCCCCGUUUUCUAUAAAUAGGGGCCCUCCUCUCAUUUUCUCUUCACUUCCAUUCUUCCACAUUUCAAGAGUUAGAGAGAGAAAAAGAGUGAUCUAGAGAGAGAAGUAG
rnacentral:lncRNA from 1 species